UACGAAGGAUCCAAGCGUUGUCCGGAUUUACUGGGUUUAAAGGGUGCGUAGGCGGGCUAUUAAGUCAGUGGUGAAAGCCGAUCGCUUAACGAUCGAACUGCCAUUGAAACUGAUAGUCUUGAGUAUGUUUGAGGUUACUGGAAUAUAACAUGUAGCGGUGAAAUGCUUAGAUAUGUUAUAGAACACCAAUUGCGAAGGCAGGUAACUAAGUCAUAACUGACGCUGAGGCACGAAAGCGUGGGGAGCAAACAGGAUUAGAUACCCUGGUAGUCCACGCCCUAAACGUUGAAUACUCGGUCUUGGCGAUAUACAGUCAGGGCCCAAGCGAAAGCGUUAAGUAUUCCACCUGGGAAGUACGUUCGCAAGAAUGAA
rnacentral:rRNA from 1 species